rnacentral:rRNA from 1 species
UCGCUGCCCGGAACUGAGCCGUUUCGAGAAGAACAGGGACUGCCGGUUGGUAGCCUUUCACGGGGCUGCCUCUCGGUGGAAACUGUUUUAAUCGGUAUGGCUUGAACCGGGCAA